ensembl:miRNA
AACUACUGCUUAUGCUAAGGUGCAUUUAGUGCAGAUAGUGAAAUAGACUAGCACCUACUGCUCUAAGUGCCCCUUCUGGCAUAAGGGGCUGGCAA